UGAAAGCUGGUACUUUACUUGCAGGGAUGUCGAUUUCUUCUUUAGUACGAGGGUUACGGCCUUUACGGGCAGCACGUUCACGUACUUCAAAGUUACCAAAUCCGAUUAAUUGAACUUUUUCACCUUUAGAUAAAGAAGUUUGAAUAGU
rnacentral:misc_RNA from 1 species